UACGUAGGUGGCAAGCGUUGUCCGGAAUUAUUGGGCGUAAAGCGCGCGCAGGCGGUUUCUUAAGUCUGAUGUGAAAGCCCCCGGCUCAACCGGGGAGGGUCAUUGGAAACUGGGAAACUUGAGUGCAGAAGAGGAAAGUGGAAUUCCAAGUGUAGCGGUGAAAUGCGUAGAUAUCUGGAGGAACACCGGUGGCGAAGGCGGCAUCCUGGACCGGUAUUGACGCUGAGGCGCGAAAGCCAGGGGAGCAAACGGG
rnacentral:rRNA from 1 species